AUGAAACAUUGGAUAACGCGGUUGUGAAAUACACGUCCUUUGUCUUUGUUCUCGUAGUUUUCUUUCUUGACAUUGUACUUUUUCAACAGCUUUCUCGAGAACUCUAAAACUUGACUAGCUGAUAAUGGUGUUGUAAAGGGUGUAGGUACUGUUCCACCUACUAUGAUGAUUCUAUCCUUAACGAAUGGGUGUUCUAAAAGUGCAGGCCAAGUCAAUCGUUGAGAAGGAUCCUUUUGCAACAAACCCUUCCAAAAAAAAAAGAAACAGUUAACAUAACCAUUAUCCAUGUGAAAGUUCAGAAAAAUCUGUAAUUGUAAGAAUUAUAAUUACUGUAUACCUGUAAGAAACUUUUACAAUUUGGCGAAAUAAAAUCUGGCCAUUUAACUGCUUCAAACCGUAUCAGUCUAACUAAAUGUAAAAUAGAAGUUGUUUGAAAUGGUGGUGAACCGACAACUAAUUCGUAAACUAUACAACCUAACGACCUGUAACAUAUGUCGUGUCUGUAUCUGUUACAUAAUUAAAAAUACAAACGAAUAAUGUCAAAUUA